rnacentral:rRNA from 1 species
CAUGUCCUUUUGAUAUUUAAUUUAAGGUCUAACCUGCCCAAUGAUUAAAAAUUAAAUGGCCGCGGUAUUUUGACCGUGCAAAGGUAGCAUAAUCAUUAGUUUUUUAAUUGAAAGCUGGAAUGAAGGGUUGAAUGAGAAAAUUACUGUCUUUUAAAUAUUUAAUUAGAAUUUUAUUUUUAAGUUAAAAAGCUUAAAUUUAAUUUAUAGACGAGAAGACCCUUUAGAGUUUUAUAAAUUUAUAUAUAAAAUUUUUUAGUAAUAACUUAAUUUUAUAUAUUUUUUUUAUUUAAUUGGGGUGAUUGAAAAAUUUAAAAAACUUUUUUUUUUAUUUUACAUUUAUAUAUGAAUAAUUGAUCCAUUUUUUAUGAUUAUAAGAUUAAAUUACCUAAGGGAUAACAGCGUUAUUUUUUUUGAGAGUUCAAAUCGAAAAAAAAGUUUGCGACCUCGAUGUUGGAUUAAAAUUAAAUUAUGGUGUAGAGGCUAUAACUUUA